AGAGUUUGAUCCUGGCUCAGGACGAACGCUGGCGGCGUGCCUAAUACAUGCAAGUCGAGCGGACAGAUGGGAGCUUGCUCCCUGAUGUUAGCGGCGGACGGGUGAGUAACACGUGGGUAACCUGCCUGUAAGACUGGGAUAACUCCGGGAAACCGGGGCUAAUACCGGAUGGUUGUUUGAACCGCAUGGUUCAAACAUAAAAGGUGGCUUCGGCUACCACUUACAGAUGGACCCGCGGCGCAUUAGCUAGUUGGUGAGGUAACGGCUCACCAAGGCGACGAUGCGUAGCCGACCUGAGAGGGUGAUCGGCCACACUGGGACUGAGGCACGGCCCAGACUCCUACGGGAGGCAGCAGUAGGGAAUCUUCCGCAAUGGACGAAAGUCUGACGGAGCAACGCCGCGUGAGUGAUGAAGGUUUUCGGAUCGUAAAGCUCUGUUGUUAGGGAAGAACAAGUGCCGUUCGAAUAGGGCGGUACCUUGACGGUACCUAACCAGAAAGCCACGGCUAACUACGUGCCAGCAGCCGCGGUAAUACGUAGGUGGCAAGCGUUGUCCGGAAUUAUUGGGCGUAAAGGGCUCGCAGGCAGUUUCUUAAGUCUGAUGUGAAAGCCCCCGGCUCAACCGGGGAGGGUCAUUGGAAACUGGGGAACUUGAGUGCAGAAGAGGAGAGUGGAAUUCCACGUGUAGCGGUGAAAUGCGUAGAGAUGUGGAGGAACACCAGUGGCGAAGGCGACUCUCUGGUCUGUAACUGACGCUGAGGAGCGAAAGCGUGGGGAGCGAACAGGAUUAGAUACCCUGGUAGUCCACGCCGUAAACGAUGAGUGCUAAGUGUUAGGGGGUUUCCGCCCCUUAGUGCUGCAGCUAACGCAUUAAGCACUCCGCCUGGGGAGUACGGUCGCAAGACUGAAACCCAAAGGAAUUGACGGGGGCCCGCACAAGCGGUGGAGCAUGUGGUUUAAUUCUAAGCAACGCGAAGAACCUUACCAGGUCUUGACAUCCUCUGACAAUCCUAGAGAUAGGACGUCCCCUUCGGGGGCAGAGUGACAGGUGGUGCAUGGUUGUCGUCAGCUCGUGUCGUGAGAUGUUGGGUUAAGUCCCGCAACGAGCGCAACCCUUGAUCUUAGUUGCCAGCAUUCAGUUGGGCACUCUAAGGUGACUGCCGGUGACAAACCGGAGGAAGGUGGGGAUGACGUCAAAUCAUCAUGCCCCUUAUGACCUGGGCUACACACGUGCUACAAUGGACAGAACAAAGGGCAGCGAAACCGCGAGGUUAAGCCAAUCCCACAAAUCUGUUCUCAGUUCGGAUCGCAGUCUGCAACUCGACUGCGUGAAGCUGGAAUCGCUAGUAAUCGCGGAUCAGCAUGCCGCGGUGAAUACGUUCCCGGGCCUUGUACACACCGCCCGUCACACCACGAGAGUUUGUAACACCCGAAGUCGGUGAGGUAACCUUUUAGGAGCCAGCCGCCGAAGGUGGGACAGAUGAUUGGGGUGAAGUCGGAACAAGGUA
rnacentral:rRNA from 1 species